AAGUCGUAACAAGGUUUCCGUAGGUGAACCUGCGGAAGGAUCAUUAACACGUAUCCAAACGUUAAAACCCCCCCCGUGAACCUUCAUCCUGCUCUUGUAACCCGCGUAGUUCGCAAUCUCUGAUAAAUCAUAGCCCGGAAAGUUGUAGUGAUUCAGAGACCUCUGGCUACGUGCGAACAUUGGAACAGUUACAAUCGAGCGGUAGUUCUAUAGGCAAUGUUUCCCCAAGCAGUCAGUGUCGGAAAGUGUCAUUGAUUGUGCUUGGAUAGCGCUUCUACGAUUCCUGUAGACCGUACACUCGGGCAGGAGCUUUGCCAAAGGGUCGCCAUGCCCCCUAGUAACCCCACAGUUUAAUGACCGAACAACUGUUAACAAUGGAUAUCUUGGUUU
rnacentral:misc_RNA from 1 species